rnacentral:rRNA from 1 species
UACGUAGGGGGCAAGCGUUGUCCGGAAUCAUUGGGCGUAAAGCGCGCGUAGGCGGCCCGGUAAGUCCGUUGUGAAAGUCAAAGGCUCAACCUUUGAACGCCGAUGGAUACUGCCGGGCUAGAGUCCGGAAGAGGCGAGUGGAAUUCCUGGUGUAGCGGUGAAAUGCGCAGAUAUCAGGAGGAACACCGGUGGCGAAGGCGGGUCUCUGGGCCGAUACUGACGCUGAGGCGCGAAAGCGUGGGGAGCAAACAGG